rnacentral:rRNA from 1 species
GUGGGGAAUCUUAGACAAUGGGCGCAAGCCUGAUCUAGCCAUGCCGCGUGAGCGAUGAAGGCCUUAGGGUUGUAAAGCUCUUUCGUGGGGGAAGAUAAUGACUGUACCCCAAGAAGAAGCCCCGGCUAACUCCGUGCCAGCAGCCGCGGUAAUACGGAGGGGGCUAGCGUUGUUCGGAAUUACUGGGCGUAAAGCGCACGUAGGCGGACUGGAAAGUCAGGGGUGAAAUCCCGGGGCUCAACCCCGGAACUGCCUUUGAAACUCCCAGUCUUGAGUGCGAGAGAGGUGAGUGGAAUUCCGAGUGUAGAGGUGAAAUUCGUAGAUAUUCGGAGGAACACCAGUGGCGAAGGCGGCUCACUGGCUCGAUACUGACGCUGAGGUGCGAAAGCGUGGGGAGCAAACAGGAUUAGAAACCCGGGUAGUCC